GACGAACGCUAGCGAUAGGCCUAACACAUGCAAGUCGAGGGGCAUCACAUGAAGUAGCAAUACGGAUGGUGGCGACCGGCGCACGGGUGAGUAACACGUAUGCAACCUGCCUUCAACAAGGGGAUAACCCGUUGAAAGACGGACUAAUACCCUAUAACACAGGGGUCCCGCAUGGGAAUAUUUGUUAAAGGACAACCGGUUGAAGAUGGGCAUGCGUUCCAUUAGCUAGUUGGCGGGGUAACGGCCCACCAAGGCAACGAUGGAUAGGGGAACUGAGAGGUUUAUCCCCCACACUGGUACUGAGACACGGACCAGACUCCUACGGGAGGCAGCAGUGAGGAAUAUUGGUCAAUGGACGCAAGUCUGAACCAGCCACGUCGCGUGAAGGAAGACGGCCCUACGGGUUGUAAACUUCUUUUAACGGGAAUAAAGUGCCCCACGCGUGGGGUUUUGCAUGUACCGUAUGAAUAAGGAUCGGCUAACUCCGUG
rnacentral:rRNA from 1 species